UGGGGAAUAUUGGACAAUGGGCGCAAGCCUGAUCCAGCCAUGCCGCGUGAGUGAUGAAGGCCUUAGGGUUGUAAAGCUCUUUCGGCGGGGAAGAUAAUGACGGUACCCGCAGAAGAAGCCCCGGCUAACUUCGUGCCAGCAGCCGCGGUAAUACGAAGGGGGUUAGCGUUGCUCGGAAUCACUGGGCGUAAAGCGCACGUAGGCGGGUUGCUAAGUCAGGGGUGAAAUCCUGGAGCUCAACUCCAGAACUGCCUUUGAUACUGGCGACCUUGAGUCCGGGAGAGGUGAGUGGAACUGCGAGUGUAGAGGUGAAAUUCGUAGAUAUUCGCAAGAACACCAGUGGCGAAGGCGGCUCACUGGCCCGGUACUGACGCUGAGGUGCGAAAGCGUGGGGAGCAAA
rnacentral:rRNA from 1 species